GACGAACGCUGGCGGCGUGCUUAACACAUGCAAGUCGAGCGGGGUCCAUCCAGUAGCAAUACUGGUGAAGACCUAGCGGCGAACGGGUGAGUAACACGUGAGCAACCUGCCCCGAAGUCUGGGAUAACACCGGGAAACCGGUGCUAAUACCGGAUCGCCCCAUCUGACCGCAUGAUCGGAUGAGGAAGAAUUUCGCUUCGGGAGGGGCUCGCGGCCUAUCAGCUUGUUGGCGGGGUAACGGCCCACCAAGGCAUCGACGGGUAGCUGGUCUGAGAGGACGACCAGCCACACUGGGACUGAGACACGGGCCCAGACUCCUACGGGAGGCAGCAGUGGGGAAUCUUGCGCAAUGGGCGAAAGCCUGACGCAGCAACGCCGCGUGGGGGAUGAAGGUCUUCGGGUUGUAAACCCCUUUCAG
rnacentral:rRNA from 1 species